rnacentral:rRNA from 2 species
UGAAGAAGGCCCUCGGGUUGUAAAGCACUUUCAGCGAGGAAGAACGCCUAGCGGUUAAUACCCGCUAGGAAAGACAUCACUCGCAGAAGAAGCACCGGCUAACUCCGUGCCAGCAGCCGCGGUAAUACGGAGGGUGCAAGCGUUAAUCGGAAUUACUGGGCGUAAAGCGCGCGUAGGUGGCUUGAUAAGCCGGUUGUGAAAGCCCCGGGCUCAACCUGGGAACGGCAUCCGGAACUGUCAAGCUAGAGUGCAGGAGAGGAAGGUAGAAUUCCCGGUGUAGCGGUGAAAUGCGUAGAGAUCGGGAGGAAUACCAGUGGCGAAGGCGGCCUUCUGGACUGACACUGACACUGAGGUGCGAAAGCGUGGGUAGCAAACAGGAUUAGAUACCCUGGUAGUCCACGCCGUAAACGAUGUCGACCAGCCGUUGGGUGCCUAGCGCACUUUGUGGCGAAGUUAACGCGAUAAGUCGACCGCCUGGGGAGUACGGCCGCAAGGUUAAAACUCAAAUGAAUUGACGGGGGCCCGCACAAGCGGUGGAGCAUGUGGUUUAAUUCGAUGCAACGCGAAGAACCUUACCUACUCUUGACAUCCUGCGAAUUUGGUAGAGAUACCUUAGUGCCUUCGGGAACGCAGAGACAGGUGCUGCAUGGCUGUCGUCAGCUCGUGUUGUGAAAUGUUGGGUUAAGUCCCGUAACGAGCGCAACCCUUGU